rnacentral:rRNA from 1 species
GAUGAACGCUAGCGGCAGGCUUAAUACAUGCAAGUCGAGGGGCAGCAGUCCCGCAGCAAUGCGGGAGCUGGCGACCGGCAAACGGGUGCGGAACACGUACAGAACCUUCCUUCGAGCGGGGAAUAGCCCAGAGAAAUUUGGAUUAAUACCCCAUAGCAUUACGAAGUGGCAUCACUUUGUAAUUAAAGAUUUAUCACUCGAAGAUGGCUGUGCGGCUGAUAGGUAGUUGGCGGAGUAACGGCCCACCAAGCCUUCGAUCAGUAACUGGUGUGAGAGCACGACCAGUCACACGGGCACUGAGACACGGGCCCGACUCCUACGGGAGGCAGCAGUAAGGAAUAUUGGUCAAUGGACGAAAGUCUGAACCAGCCAUGCCGCGUGGAGGAU